UUUACUUUACUUUUGCAUAACUUAUCGAAACACAAAGUUUUAGAGAAGACUGCGACGGAGUUAAAAAUCCGACCAUUUUAUUCUUUUCUUUUCAUCGACUUAGUGGUAGAAAUGCUAUUUUUUCGUACGGUUUUCUUUUCUUUGCGCGUGGUGUUUCUUAUUUGGGAUUUCGAAACGGACAAGGUCAAGAGUUGGCAUCGUGUUUUCACAUCGAGUUUCACAAUUUGCCUUGAAAACUCAAGGCAGAUUGAGGUUUGGAGUCCAUUGUUGUUCGUUUGAAAGUAAUUUUCAUUUUUUGACGCUCGCUCAAGAUGCUAUGGAGGAAUGAAAUAUAUCGACUGAUGUUAUGUUCUCAGAGCAGUUCGAGAGUACAAGCAAGCCCACGAUGCACGAGGCAAUGGUGUAACAUGUAAAGUCAUGUGGGACUUGGAAAGACUAGUGGUUGAAGGCUGGAAGACAUUUAUAAGGUUUUUUAGACACAACUGGCAAUCUUGAGGUAGAUCAUGAAUUGGUAGCUCCUCCCCAUAGUUCCACAUCAUUAGCGCUACUAGUUGUAUGAGCCUUGGAACUUGUCCAUGAGGUGUACUGGUAACUCCCUAAAUUACUGUUGGAUUGAGUGACCUUUGUCCCUCCAGUGCAGAUGUUCCCUUGGCAGAAGUCUUCCAAUGAAGUUCAAGGUUGCGACCAUCUGCUUUUUGGUGACUUAAUCAUAGCUGAUCUGACUGGAAUUUCAAGAAGCUUUAAAACCAAAUGUCAGAAGGGACUUUGGUAUCUCUGAUCAGCUCGCAUUCCAAACAACUUAGGAAAAGUUAACCACUCAGCUCCAUGAUCUUUGAUUACUUUAAUUGCUUCUUGUAACAUUGGCCUCUGCAUUUGUUUGUGAAAAUGGUUAAUAGCUGCUGGGUCCUUCAAUGACAUCUUCACCCAUUGUGAUGUUAUAGGAAAUAUUCAGAUAGAGACAUCAACAUUUCACUUAAAGUUUCAUGGUGCAUUAGAACAGUUGCUGGCUAUAACCAUACUCGGUAACCACUGGAAAAUCCAAGUUAUACAAGACUAGCUUGGGAUGCCUUCAGAGAUGGGAUGAUAAACUUGUCAAGGAAUUCAAACAAAAACUUGAUUUCAACUUGAAUCAUAGGACUGGAGCUGAGCGUAAUGACAUCUUGCCAAAUAGUGGCUAUCAGAUUUUGGCAAACUUUCAAGGAGAUGUUCAGUAAGCUGUAAACAAGCUUUUCUAUACUUAAGAUACCACUGAAGAGUUUCAUGAUACUAUGUCCACCUUGUGUCAAUGAAUGUUGGAGGAAGGGGUGGCUCUUCACUAAGAAUACCCAGAAAAACAGUCUUAGAUAACUUUGUACUGGCUCAAACACUCAUGCUGGAGCCAAGAUAUUUUAUAUAGUAAUUGUAAAACAAGGGGGUUGCUUAAGUCACCCUUUGCCCCAAACUCGGUAUGGCACAUUAUUCUCAGCAUAGUAUUUAGUACAUGUGGGUAGCAUCCUACAAAAAAACUCCCUUUCCAAGCAUUUUGGUGUUGUUUGCUAAAACACCAUUUACUUUUCCCUUUUGGGUAGAAGCAAUGUCCCCAACCAACCCCGAAACAUUGGUAAUAUCUUAUUCAUUUUUUACAAUAUGGUAAUCCAGAUCAGAUUGGUGUGUUUUCCUGACCUGCUUGCUGUUAGGCUGUUUGCAAGGACAUAAGCUUAAGGCUCACUCUCUAUUGGGCACCAGGUGUGAACACCCACUAUGUGCCUCUCCUCCUUUGUAAGAGUCAUCACUCCAGAGAUGAAAAUCAUACUUGGAAUUUGAAAAGUGCUUGCAUAAAAUUAGUUUGUUGGCUUCACCCAAGAGAACAUUCCAGUCAGAAAUUGUAGUUGGCGAGACAAUGAAGUUUGCUGGGGAGGGGGGGCUACGAUCAAACAAAAAAAUUGAAAAUCAGAUGUAAUGCUACAGCUGUCUUUUGAUAAGAUAACAAAGAUGCAUAUUGUAUGUAUCUGACACAAGCCAUAAACAUGAAAGAUCUUUGGUUGUUUUCAUUGUGACCAUGUGCAAAUGUCUCCACAAGGAAAUACCCCUUUUUGACCACUUCAUUUUUUCCCUGGAAUUUCUGUUUCAGUUUUGAGGAAGCAGAUCUUGUCCCCUUUGCCUUGUUGCUGACUUGUUUUUCCUUUUUUUCACUAGACGUCAGAUUUUUUUGACACUUUUUUAAGUUGAGUUUGGAUCCUCAACACGUCCUUUUUGAAUUGGAUGUUCCUUUCCAUUUACAAAUACUGAAGUUAUGAAAAGGUGACAUAUGAAAAUGGUUAAAUAUAACUGAUUUCACAUGAUAGAGUACGGAAACAAAGAAUACAAAAUAAAAAUUUCCU
rnacentral:lncRNA from 1 species